CAGAAGUCAUGUCUGCUGUUUGUCUUGGGAUGGAGCUGCCAGGGACAUGGCCCCUCCCACCACAAGUGGCCAAGGGCAUGUUGUGGUCGGGAAGCUUCACCGGUCGACCCCGGCCACCUCACCUCUGCCUGCCACUCGGGGUCCUGGGCCCUGCUGCCCGCCGAGUGCAGCUGCAACGCCCCUUUUGCCUAAAGCAGCAGGCCCUGCCGACAGGGACCUGAGCAUCUUUUUCUUCCUUCCUUGGCCUCUGAGGUCCUGAGAGGGAGCUCCCCAACUCUCCCGCCCCAGUCAGCGGUCACAGGGGAGUCUCUGGGCCCACAGCAGGGCUGGCCUGGUAGCUGAGACCCUGGUGGCUCCUGGCCACGCUCAGGAAGGCCCGUGUGGUCAGGGCUGCAUUUGAGCCAGACCCACACUGGGGAUCUGCCGAGGGCUGGGUGCUGAUGUCCCCGCCCCGCGCCCCCCGUCGAUGUCUCUUGCCAGGCGCGACUCUUCGAUGAGCCACAGCUGGCCAGCCUGUGCCUGGAGAACAUCGACAAAAACACUGCAGACGCCAUCACCGCGGAGGGCUUCACCGACAUUGACCUGGACACGCUGGUGGCUGUCCUGGAGCGUGACACACUGGGCAUCCGUGAGGUGCGGCUGUUCAACGCCGUUGUCCGCUGGUCCGAGGCCGAGUGUCAGCGGCAGCAGCUGCAGGUGACGCCGGAGAACAGGCGGAAGGUUCUGGGCAAGGCCCUGGGCCUCAUUCGCUUCCCGCUCAUGACCAUCGAGGAGUUCGCCGCAGGCCCCGCACAGUCGGGCAUCCUGGUGGACCGCGAGGUGGUCAGCCUCUUCCUGCACUUCACCGUCAACCCCAAGCCACGAGUGGAGUUCAUUGACCGGCCCCGCUGCUGCCUGCGUGGGAAGGAGUGCAGCAUCAACCGCUUCCAGCAGGUGGAGAGUCGCUGGGGCUACAGCGGGACCAGUGACCGCAUCAGGUUCUCAGUCAACAAGCGCAUCUUCGUGGUGGGAUUUGGGCUGUAUGGAUCCAUCCACGGGCCCACCGACUACCAAGUGAACAUCCAGAUUAUUCACACCGACAGCAACACCGUCUUGGGCCAGAACGACACGGGCUUCAGCUGUGACGGCUCAGCCAGCACCUUCCGCGUCAUGUUCAAGGAGCCGGUGGAGGUGCUGCCCAACGUCAACUACACGGCCUGCGCCACGCUCAAGGGCCCAGACUCCCACUACGGCACCAAAGGCCUCCGCAAGGUGACACACGAGUCGCCCACCACGGGCGCCAAGACCUGCUUCACCUUUUGCUACGCGGCCGGGAACAACAACGGCACAUCCGUGGAGGACGGCCAGAUCCCCGAGGUCAUCUUCUACACCUAGGCUGCCCGACACCGACACUGCCCUCCCUCCGUGGGGACAGCCGCAGCCCCAGGCCAUCAUCCGCUGCUGGGGCCCCCCCACCACGCGGUGCCAGGCCCAGUGUCCCCCGGGCCACCUGUCCACUCCACGCCAUCUUUCUCAGCAUCAGGAAGGGGUUGCCCUGUGUUCACCACGAGUGCGGCUGCUGGAUCAGGGCAGCCGGGGAGGUGGCCGGGCCAGUGGCCAGGCCCUGUGGAGACGAUCCCUCAGGACUAGGGACAGGGCUGUGCCGGCCUGGGCCAGGGCCCACGGACCCGCAGCUCAGGGCGCCUGCCCACGUCGUCUGCCGGCGGUGCGUGGCGGGCGUCCCUCGCGUCUCUUCACUGCACAUUGCAAUGCAUUUGCGAUUCCCAUUUCUCUGCUAGGAGCCAGCCUGGGUGGCGCCGCUCCCAGAGCCGUGGGUCCCAGACCUUGCGUUCCUUUUGUUCCUGUCCGUUUAUCAGGACACGGGCCCCACCUGUCACGUGCCCGAGGCCACCCAAGCCCAGCUGCCUGGAUGCCAGCUUGAGUUCUGCGCACGUCGGAUUCAGUGUGGGGACGGCCCCUGCCGGAUAGGCCUAGCCCUGGCCCAGGUGGUGAGCGGUUUGCAGUGUCCGUUCUCAUCCACCUGAUGGGCCCAGAUAAAGGCCCCCGCUGUCCAGCCUCCCUGGACGGCCCUCGCGGUCCCUGCAGCCCAAGAUGGGACUCAGACCCUGUGCCCCAGAGCUCCCCUGCCGCAGAAUGGGGCCCCAGCCGGCCCCGACCGGGUCCAGGAGCACUGCUCGCCUGUACAUACUGUUGCCCUAGCCCACCUGGUGCCGCGCGAGCCACCCCCAGGUGCUGGGGGCACAGCCCCUCCCCACCCCGGCCACGCCCCCACCCACCCCGUGUGUUUCUGCCCUGUGACUCCUGGAACCUGCGUCCUCCCCAAAGCCAUGGGAGGGGUGUCCUCCUCAGACCAUGCCCCCAGAUAAUUUUUUUAAAUAAAGAAACAAAGGCACCUGCCUUGAGCGCA
rnacentral:sRNA from 1 species